rnacentral:rRNA from 1 species
UACGUAGGGGGCAAGCGUUGUCCGGAUUUACUGGGCGUAAAGAGCGCGCAGGCGGUCGGUCAAGUCGAGUGUGAAAGCCCCCGGCUCAACUGGGGAGGGUCAUUCGAUACUGAUCGACUCGAAGGCAGGAGAGGGUAGUGGAAUUCCCGGUGUAGUGGUGAAAUGCGUAGAUAUCGGGAGGAACACCAGUGGCGAAGGCGACUUCCUGGCCUGUUCUUGACGCUGAGGCGCGAAAGCUAGGGUAGCAAACGGG